UACAGAGGGUGCGAGCGUUAAUCGGAUUUACUGGGCGUAAAGGGCGUGUAGGUGGAUAAGUGAGUCAGAUGUGAAAGUCCUGGGCUUAACCUGGGGAUUGCAUUUGAUACUGUUUAUCUAGAGUGAAGUAGAGGAUAGUAGAAUUUCCGGUGUAGCGGUGAAAUGCGUAGAUAUCGGAAAGAAUACCGGUGGCGAAGGCGGCUAUCUGGACUUCAACUGACACUGAGGCGCGAAAGCGUGGGGAGCGAACAGG
rnacentral:rRNA from 1 species